GGGCUGUUCCCGGCCCCGGCCCCGGCCCCGGCCCGAGAGCGCGUCCAACUAGUGCCGGGGGCUCACGUGUGGACGGUGCCGGGCGAAGCGCUCCACGGGCCGCGCGCAGCACCUGCCUCCCGCGCGGAGCCAGCAUGCCGGUCCGGAGGAAAGAUACCGACCGAGCUUUACAGCUGCUGGAAGAAUAUUGUAAAAAGCUAAAGAAACCAGAAGAGCAACAACUGAAAAAAGCCAUUAAAAAGGUGAUGGGCAUCUUUAAGAGCAGCUUAUUUCAGGCAUUACUCGUUUCAUGAAAAUGAGGAGGAGAAAUCCAAGGUCAUUGACCAUGCAAAUUAGUAGGGACAUCUGAUUCUUGAGGGAGUGAAAUAACAGGCCAGUCCUCUCAUGUAGCAGUACCUUAAGACCAACCAACAAAAGGUCACAUGGAGACUACGGCCCCAAAACUGGAAGAGAGGAUAUGCCAUAGCAGUGUUGUUCCCCUGGAGAUUCAUGGGUUUCUUACAUCUUCCACCAUCAUCCAGUACUUUAUGACCAGUGUCCAGUGGCCAUCAGGUUGUCCCCCCAUCAGCACCAUGAAUAUUCUUCAGUAUACAGGAUAUCCCAACAUUGUCCCCAGUGAAGGAUGUGAUACAGAAGAUCUACCUUCAGUUGCUUCUCAGCGUUUGUGCCCCUGAAAUAUGGAUGUUUUAGAAGAAUUUUUUAAUGUCAUUGAUCAUCCCUUUGGACAAUGUACUAGACCUCAUUUAGAAACAGUGGCAGUGGAGAAGAGAGCCAGGAGAUUGGGGAAAAUGUGCAUUCUGCACAUUAUUCGUUAAAAUCAUUGAGAUGUCUCAAAGCAGACAUUUUACUUGAUUCAACUGAAGUGUGUGUGCGCCAAGUGCAAAUUCUUCAGAAAACCAAUCCCUAUUUCUCCAAAAGCUAUAACUCCCUUCUUACUAGGUAAAAUGCAAGUAAUUCAACAUGGGGAAGAAUUUUUCCAAGUUUGGGGCUAAAGGACGAUGGGGAGAGCCUAGGAUGUCCAUCCACUGCUACCAAUUAGCAAUGAAUAGCCAUUAUGUCAUGCAUUAAUGUAGUGUUCCUCAUCUUCAGAAACUUCUAUGGCUACAUAAACCCAUUAUUAAGUGAUAUUUGUGAGUUCCAUUUUGAGCAAAUACUUGUGUAUACAUAUGACUUUAGUGAUUGCACACUACUUUAAGUUAGACUUUGAGCAAAAUGGUGGAAGGAUAAUAUUUGAUCUAUUAGCACU